rnacentral:rRNA from 1 species
UAAUACGGAGGAUGCGAGCGUUAUCCGGAUUUAUUGGGUUUAAAGGGUGCGUAGGCUGUUAUAUAAGUCAGUGGUGAAAUAUUCGGGCUCAACCGGGAUACUGCCAUUGAUACUGUAUAGCUGGAAUAUGGUUGCUGUGGGUGGAAUGUGUGGUGUAGCGGUGAAAUGCAUAGAUAUCACACAGAAUAUCGAUUGCGAAGGCAACUCACAAAGCCAUUAUUGACGCUGAUGCACGAAAGUGUGGGGAUCAAACAGGAUUAGAUACCCUGGUAGUCCACACUGUAAACGAUGAUAACUAGCUGUCGGCGAUAGAUAGUCGGUGGCUAAGCGAAAGCGAUAAGUUAUCCACCUGAGGAGUACGACCGCAAGGUUGAAACUCAAAGGAAUUGACGGGGGCCCGCACAAGCGGAGGAACAUGUGGUUUAAUUCGAUGAUACGCGAGGAACCUUACCCGGGCUCGAACGGUGCAGGAAUAUGGUAGAGAUAUCAUAGCUAGCAAUAGUCUGUAUCGAGGUGCUGCAUGGUUGUCGUCAGCUCGUGCCGUGAGGUGUCGGCUUAAGUGCCAUAACGAGCGCAACCCUUGUCGUUAGUUACCAUCAAGUAAAGUUGGGGACUCUAGCGAGACUGCCACCGUAAGGUGUGAGGAAGGGGGGGAUGACGUCAAAUCAGCACGGCCCUUACGUCCGGGGCGACACACGUGUUACAAUGGUAGGUACAGAGGGGCGCUAUCCAGUGAUGGAGUGCGAAUCUCAAAAACCUAUCUCAGUUCGGAUUGGAGUCUGCAACUCGACUCCAUGAAGUUGGAUUCGCUAGUAAUCGCGCAUCAGCCAUGGCGCGGUGAAUACGUUCCCGGGNNUUGUACACACCGCCCGUCAAGCCAUGGANGCCGGGGGUGCCUGA